UGAGGAAUAUUGGUCAAUGGGCGGAAGCCUGAACCAGCCAAGUAGCGUGAAGGAUGAAGGUUCUAUGGAUUGUAAACUUCUUUUAUACGGGAAUAACGGUUCUCACGUGUGGGAAUGUGCAUGUACCGUAUGAAUAAGCAUCGGCUAACUCCGUGCCAGCAGCCGCGGUAAUACGGAGGAUGCGAGCGUUAUCCGGAUUUAUUGGGUUUAAAGGGAGCGCAGACGGGAUGUUAAGUCAGCUGUGAAAGUUUGCGGCUCAACCGUAAAAUUGCAGUUGAUACUGGCGUUCUUGAGUGCAGUUGAGGUGUGCGGAAUUCGUGGUGUAGCGGUGAAAUGCUUAGAUAUCACGAAGAACUCCUAUUGCGAAGGCAGCUCACUAAACUGCAACUGACGUUCAUGCUCGAAAGUGUGGGUAUCAAACAG
rnacentral:rRNA from 1 species